rnacentral:lncRNA from 1 species
AAGGGAAUUGCUAAAUGCUGACUAAAGUGACUGUACAAUUUGACUUUCGUUUUUGUAGCUCAAUUGGGAGAAUAUUUGCCCAGCACACGUGAAGUCAUGGAUUCAAUCCCUAGCUCUGCAUGCAACAGGCACACCUGAUCCCACACGGAGGCUUGCCAGAGCCCAAACAGGACCGCGUUGGUUUGGUCCUUGGAAAGGUUCGAGGUCCCAAAGCAACGUUAUUUAUGCCGGCUGCAACCCUUGCCACGAAGCCUUGAGGCAUCCCAAUUACUAAUUCAACGGCGGGGAGCUGAAGCAAUCCGGUGAUUUUCCAUCAAUAAGAUGGUUUCCAUCAGCAAAACCCCAUGGG